CCUACGGGUGGCAGCAGUCGGGAAUAUUGCGCAAUGGAGGAAACUCUGACGCAGUGACGCCGCGUGCAGGAAGAAGGUUUUCGGAUUGUAAACUGCUUUAGAUAGGGAAGAAACAAGAAAGUACCUGUAAAAUAAGCUCCGGCUUACUACGUGCCAGGAGUCGCGGUAAUACGUAGGGAGCAAGCGUUAUACGGAUUUAUUGUGUGUAGAGGGUGCGUAGACGGGAAGUCAAGUUGUUUGUGAAAUCCCUCGCCGUAACUGAGGAACUGCAACCAAAUAUAACCUUCUGGAGGGCUGUAGAGGAAAGGGGAAUUCCUAGUGUAGCGGUGAAAUGCGUAGAUAUUAGGAGGAACACCAGUGGCGAAGGCGACUUUCUGGACAGUAACUGACGUUGAGGCACGAAAGUGUGGGGAGCAAACAGGAGUAGAUACCCUGGUAGUC
rnacentral:rRNA from 1 species